AGUGAACGCUGGCGGUAGGCCUAACACAUGCAAGUCGAACGGCAGCACAGUAAGAGCUUGCUCUUACGGGUGGCGAGUGGCGGACGGGUGAGGAAUACAUCGGAAUCUACUUUUUCGUGGGGGAUAACGUAGGGAAACUUACGCUAAUACCGCAUACGACCUACGGGUGAAAGCAGGGGAUCUUCGGACCUUGCGCGACUGAAUGAGCCGAUGUCGGAUUAGCUAGUUGGCGGGGUAAAGGCCCACCAAGGCGACGAUCCGUAGCUGGUCUGAGAGGAUGAUCAGCCACACUGCAACUGAGACACGGUCCAGACUCCUACGGGAGGCAGCAGUGGGGAAUAUUGGACAAUGGGCGCAAGCCUGAUCCAGCCAUACCGCGUGGGUGAAGAAGGCCUUCGGGUUGUAAAGCCCUUUUGUUGGGAAAGAAAAGCAGCAGGUUAAUACCCCGCUGUUCUGACGGUACCCAAAGAAUAAGCACCGGCUAACUUCGUG
rnacentral:rRNA from 1 species